AACGUAGUCGAUUUAGAGGUUGUGGCCUAUGAGCCGUGGCUUCUGGAGCUAACGCGUUAAAUCGACCGCCUGGGGAGUACGGCCGCAAGGUUAAAACUCAAAUGAAUUGACGGGGGCCCGCACAAGCGGUGGAGCAUGUGGUUUAAUUCGAUGCAACGCGAAGAACCUUACCUACUCUUGACAUCCAGCGAAUCCUUUAGAGAUAGAGGAGUGCCUUCGGGAACGCUGAGACAGGUGCUGCAUGGCUGUCGUCAGCUCGUGUUGUGAAAUGUUGGGUUAAGUCCCGCAACGAGCGCAACCCUUAUCCUUUGUUGCCAGCACGUCAUGGUGGGAACUCAAAGGAGACUGCCGGUGAUAAACCGGAGGAAGGUGGGGAUGACGU
rnacentral:rRNA from 1 species